UAAUACAGAAGGUGCGAGCGUUAAUCGGAAUUACUGGGCGUAAAGGGUGCGUAGGUGGUUUUGUAAGUUAGGUGUGAAAGUCCCGGGCUUAACCUGGGGAUUGCGCCUAAUACUGCGAAGCUAGAGUACUGUAGAGGAAAGUGGAAUUUCCAGUGUAGCGGUGAAAUGCGUAGAUAUUGGAAGGAACAUCAGUGGCGAAGGCGACUUUCUGGACAGAUACUGACACUGAGGCACGAAAGCGUGGGGAGCAAACAGGAUUAGAUACCCUGGUAGUCCAUGCUGUAAACGAUGAAGACUGGCUGUUGGGUGCCUUAGGGCACUUAGUAGCGAAGCUAACGCGUUAAGUCUUCCGCCUGGGGAGUACGGCCGCAAGGUUA
rnacentral:rRNA from 1 species